CGUAAGAUUUUAUCAAAUUAAUAAUGCGAACAAUCUUGAAUCGUCAACGUGAUUAAUUUUUUUCAGCGCCAACAGUUUUUACGCAGCUGUGUUUGAUGCAAGAAAGAGAUAUGUCUCGUUUUAGCGUUACCAUCCGAUAAAAUUCAUCGCACAAUAUCCACGCGAUAAGAAGUCCACCUAGCAAGCAUGUAAAUAGUGUCAGGUGAUCGGGACUAUUUGUGCCAUUUUGGCUGCGCACUUUUCUGUCAUCGGAAUUUUGACGUUUCUCUUCUCGUCCGACCUCACUCACAAUCAGUACUUCUCCCACUGGAGAUUCAUCUCGCACAAUUAUUUCUCACUCUCCUGGUACAGAUACAGUGCAACAAAUUAAAGAUGUCCGAAAAAAUUCCAAGCAGUCAACCACAACCUAUUGUUAAAAUAGGCCAUUAUACAUUAGGCCAGACUUUAGGUGUUGGCACAUUUGGUAAAGUAAAAAUUGGAGAACACGUUUUAACAAAACAUAAAGUUGCUGUGAAGAUUCUGAAUCGUCAAAAAAUUAAAAGCCUAGAUGUUGUAGGCAAAAUUCGCAGAGAAAUACAGAAUCUUAAACUCUUCAGGCAUCCUCACAUCAUCAAAUUAUACCAGGUUAUAAGUACUCCUACAGACAUAUUCAUGAUAAUGGAAUAUGUCUCAGGUGGAGAGCUGUUUGAUUAUAUUGUUAAACAUGGUAAACUUAAGGAGUACGAAGCGCGACGAUUUUUCCAACAAAUUAUAUCGGGCGUCGAUUAUUGUCAUCGGCAUAUGAUAGUCCAUCGCGAUUUAAAGCCGGAAAAUCUUCUCUUAGAUCACAAUCUGCAUGUGAAGAUCGCAGACUUUGGUCUAUCGAAUAUGAUGAUGGAUGGUGAGUUCUUGCGUACUUCCUGCGGUUCUCCGAAUUAUGCCGCACCAGAAGUAAUAUCUGGCAAAUUGUACGCCGGUCCCGAGGUAGAUAUUUGGUCGUGCGGUGUUAUAUUGUAUGCGCUACUCUGCGGUACCUUACCAUUUGACGACGAGCACGUUCCUACCCUCUUCCGUAAGAUUAAAUCUGGUGUUUUUCCCAUUCCGGAAUAUUUGAACAAGACUGUUGUUAGCCUCUUGUGUCACAUGUUGCAAGUCGACCCGAUGAAGAGAGCAACUAUUGAAGACAUUAAAAAACAUGAGUGGUUCCAGAAGGAUUUACCAUCGUACUUGUUUCCGUCACCCGUCGAACAAGAUUCAUCCGUCAUCGACAUAGAUGCCGUGAAUGAAGUGUGCGAGAAAUUUAACGUCAAAGAACCGGAAGUACACUCCGCGUUAUUGGGCGGUGAUCCGCAUGAUCAGUUGGCGAUCGCUUAUCAUUUAAUAAUCGACAAUAAAAGAAUCGCAGAUGAAGCGGCUAAGGCUGAAUUAAAAGACUUUUAUGUGGCAUCUAGCCCACCACCGGUAGCGUUUAGUCCAAACGACGCCAGCAGCAGCCCCUUGAGGCCUCAUCCUGAAAGAAUUGCACCAUAUCGUGAACGUCAAGGUUCACAAGGUAGUACAUCCGCACAAAUGCAAGGCAAUCGCGGUACACCAGUGAAAAGAGCAAAAUGGCAUUUAGGUAUCAGAUCGCAGUCAAAGCCAAACGACAUUAUGAAUGAAGUUUAUCGUGCUAUGAAAGCACUUAACUUUGAAUGGAAGAUAAUAAAUGCUUACAGUGUUAGAGUACGACAUAAAAACAAUUUGACUGACAGAUACAGCAAAAUGUCAUUACAGUUAUAUCAAGUUGAUUACAAGAGUUAUUUAUUAGACUUCAAGUCCUUGUCGACCGAAGAGGAUGACAUUGGACGAGAUCCAACAUUGCCACCUCCGCAAGCGACAGGUCAUCACACAAUGGAAUUUUUCGAAAUGUGUGCAGCAUUAAUUACACAAUUGGCGCGAUAGCGUGCCUGGUUUUUAAAAAUUAAAUUCCGUUUUUGUGCUUUUAAAGGUGUAUAGUAUGAAAUAAAUGCAGACUAAGCAUUUGAUAGACAGGACGAAGAAACUUGAACUUUGAAGCAAGAAAAUAACAUCGCAUAAAACGCACCUAAUAUAACAAAAAAAAUUAAUAAAUUAAAAACAGCACAAUAGCUACAUAUAUUAUCAUUUAUUAUUAAAUGCUAUAAUUGAAUGUUACAUUAUUACAACUAUUAUAAAUUACAACACAAAUAUAUAUUUAUCUAAAUGAUUAUUAAUUCUAUCAUAUUGUAUAUCUAUAAAAUUGGUUUACUAUCAGAAAAACCAAAUAUGUGCAUAUGCUUAGAAAAAUAUACAUUAUAUAUUUUUA